rnacentral:rRNA from 1 species
UACAGAGGUCUCAAGCGUUUGUUCGGAUUCAUUGGGCGUAAGGGUGUGUAGGUGGCGCGCUAAGUCGGGUGUGAAAUUUCGGAGCUUAACUCCGAAACUGCAUUCGAUACUGGCGUGCUUGAGGACUGGAGAGGAGACUGGAAUUCAUGGUGUAGCAGUGAAAUGCGUAGAGAUCAUGAGGAAGACCAGUGGCGAAGGCGGGUCUCU